rnacentral:rRNA from 1 species
UACGUAGGGGGCAAGCGUUGUCCGGAUUUAUUGGGCGUAAAGAGCUCGUAGGCGGUUUGGUAAGUCUGGUGUGAAAUCUCCACGCUCAACGUGGAGGGGCCACCCGAUACUGCCAUGACUGGAGUCCGGUAGAGGAUCGCGGAAUUCCCGGUGUAGAGGUGAAAUUCGUAGAUAUCGGGAGGAACACCAGUGGCGAGGGCGGCGAUCGUGGGUCGAUACUGACGCUGAGGUGCGAAAGCGUGGGGAGCAAACAGG